GAUGAACGCUGGCGGCGUGCCUAAUACAUGCAAGUCGAGCGAACAGACCCGGCGCUUGCUCCUCUCACGUUAGCCGCGGACGGGUGUGUCACACGUGGAUCCCCUCCCUAUCUGUCUGGGAUCACUUCGGGACACCGGCUCUAAUCCCGGAUAAUCUCUUGCACCGCAUGGUUCGAUAGUGAAAGACGGCUUUUCUGUCACGUCUCGCUGCAUCUCCGCCGCAUUAGCUAGUUGGUAAGGUAACGGCGUACCAAGGCGACGAUGCGUAGCCGACCUGAGAGACGGGUCGGCGGCACGGGAGCGGAGACGGGCUCCAGACGACUACGGGAGGCAGCAGUAGCGAAUCGGACGCAGUGGGCGAAAGCAUGACGGAGCAACGCCGCGUGAGUGAUGAAGGUCUUCGGAGCGGAAAACUCUGUUAUGAGGGAAGAACAAAUGUGUAAGGAACUAUGCACGUCUUGACGGUACCUAAUCAGAAAGCCACGGCUAACUACGUG
rnacentral:rRNA from 1 species